UACGAAGGGGGCUAGCGUUGUUCGGAAUCACUGGGCGUAAAGCGCACGUAGGCGGAUCUUUAAGUCAGAGGUGAAAUCCCAAGGCUCAACCUUGGAACUGCCUUUGAUACUGGGGAUCUUGAGUCCGGGAGAGGUGAGUGGAACUGCGAGUGUAGAGGUGAAAUUCGUAGAUAUUCGCAAGAACACCAGUGGCGAAGGCGGCUCACUGGCCCGGUACUGGCGCUGAGGUGCGAAAGCGGGGGGAGCAAACAGG
rnacentral:rRNA from 1 species